CAAUAGCGUAUAUUUAAGUUGUUGCAGUUAAAAAGCUCGUAGUUGGAUUUCUGCUGAUCGCUGUCGGUUUGCCGUCAGGUGUGUACUGGCAGUGUUUGGCAUCUAUUCGAGAUUGGGUGUCCACUUGAUUGUGUGCACUCGAUGUCGGAGCUAAUACUUUGAGAAAAUUAGAGUGUUCCACGCAGGCGCGUGCCUUGAAUACUGCAGCAUGGGAUAUUGGAAGGCCGAUUGAGCUUUCUUGUUGGUUCUCGGUUUGAUCGGAAUGAUUAAUAGGGAUAGUUGGGGGCAUUCGUAUUCAACUGUCAGAGGUGAAAUUCUUGGAUUUGUUGAAGACGGACUACUGCGAAAGCAUCUGCCAUGGAUGUUCUCAUUGA
rnacentral:rRNA from 1 species